rnacentral:rRNA from 1 species
AUGGACGGGCGAGCAAAGGGGCAUCGAGGCGCUGAAGAUGAAGAAGACAAGGCGAGAGGGACGGCGCAAGACGGCGGUGCUCGUCAACGGGGCUUGGCGGAGAGCAGCAGCAGCGGGGCUUCCUGCCGACGUGGGGAGGCAGAACGACGAAACAUGAGGCCGACGAGGUGUUGCGCGAUGAUGGCCUCGGGAGGGCCAUGGCAUGGUGCAGGCAGGGAGCAUCUCAGGCUGCUGCUGCUCGCGUGCUCCAGCGCGGGCGGAGCUAGCAGUGAGGAGGAGAAGGGAGCUGGGGCGCACCAGAGGUGGAGUGGCGCCUGGUCGCCGGCGAGGUGGCCGUCCGGCCGAGGAGACGAGCGCGAGGACUGCAGGGGAGAGGUGGAACGGGUGAGGGACGAAGGAAUACAGAGAGGAGGCGGCGGCUAG